GUAGUUCCGAUUCAUUAGUGGACUGUCUGUAAAUUAUUGCGGUGGUAGGUUUCCGUUCUAAGUCUGUGUGUUUCAAAUCGGAUGGUCUCGUUUUGGUCCUUCCUUUAAGUGUUAUGUGUGUCUACGGAUAGCUUUGAUGUUUUUAAUCUUCUCUUUUACGUCUCUGCGUGCGUAAGGUUUUAUCGAGGAAUAAAGGUGCUAUUUGUUCUUUGCUAUCUCCUAUUAGUUUCAAGACUUUCGUAUUGGUGGGGUGUAAGAGUUGUACCCUACCGUUUUUGGUGUUUAUCCAGCUGAAAGUGUUAAUUGGAUUAAUCCUUUAAACUUGUCAUCUUGGUCUACACCGUCGUUGGUCGUUUGAUCCUAUCUCGGAAGUUUUGAAAAUUCAAGAUCCUUGUGUUGAUGAACAAACGAUACUCCCCGUUCUUUAUAAAAUACUUCUUUCAUGUAAUUAAGGGAUAUGUAUUUUUCAAAGCACACAACGUUUCGUGAUUUUUCUAAUGUCCUGGUCGUCUGCGUAAACUGAGGUUUAGUAGUCAUUGCAUUUAUUGUGCGGUCUCCCGACUUGGUUUUGUGCCUCAAUUUUUGUAUUUUGACUUUGCAACCAAGGGGUAUGAAAUGUUAAAUAGGUAUCUAUUUAAUACUUUGGGUGAUAUUUGGGGUUUUAGUUUUGUUGUUACGGGGGAGUCGAAUAAUAAUGAAUACUGCUUUAAUGAUCGGCCCUCGUCCCAGU